rnacentral:rRNA from 1 species
GAUGAACGCUGGCGGCGUGCCUAAUACAUGCAAGUCGAGCGAACAGACGAGGAGCUUGCUCCUCUGACGUUAGCGGCGGACGGGUGAGUAGCACGUGGAUAACCUACCUAUAAGACUGGGAUAACUUCGGGAAACCGGAGCUAAUACCGGAUAAUAUAUUGAACCGCAUGGUUCAAUAGUGAAAGACGGUUUUGCUGUCACUUAUAGAUGGAUCCGCGCCGCAUUAGCUAGUUGGUAAGGUAACGGCUUACCAAGGCAACGAUGCGUAGCCGACCUGAGAGGGUGAUCGGCCACACUGGAACUGAGACACGGUCCAGACUCCUACGGGAGGCAGCAGUAGGGAAUCUUCCGCAAUGGGCGAAAGCCUGACGGAGCAACGCCGCAUGAGUGAUGAAGGUCUUCGGAUCGUAAAACUCUGUUAUUAGGGAAGAACAAAUGUGUAAGUAACUAUGCACGUCUUGACGGUACCUAAUCAGAAAGCCACGGCUAACUACGUG